UACGUAGGGGGGCGAGCGUUGUCCGGAAUCAUUGGGCGUAAAGCGCGUGUAGGCGGCUCGGUAAGUCCGGUGUGAAACCUUGGGGCUCAACCCCAAGCCUGCACUGGAUACUGUCGAGCUCGAGUCCGGGAGGGGAGAGCGGAAUCCUAGUGUAGCGGUGAAAUGCGCAGAUAUUAGGAAGAACACCGGUGGCGAAGGCGGCUCUCUGGAACGGUACUGACGCUGAGACGCGAAAGCGUGGGGAAGCGAACGAG
rnacentral:rRNA from 1 species